rnacentral:rRNA from 1 species
GCCUCACGGGUAGACCUCCCACCCUUUGUAUACCUUACUUUGUUGCUUUGGCGGGCCGCCUAGCUACCGGCUUCGGCUGGUAAGUGCCCGCCAGAGAACCCCAAACCCAAACCCAUUUAUAGUGUCGUCUGAGAAAAAGUUUAAUAUUUAAAACUUUCAACAACGGAUCUCUUGGCUCUGGCAUCGAUGAAGAACGCAGCGAAAUGCGAUAAGUAAUGUGAAUUGCAGAAUUCAGUGAAUCAUCGAAUCUUUGAACGCACAUUGCGCCCCUUGGUAUUCCGAGGGGCAUGCCUAUUCGAGCGUCAUUAUCACCCCUCAAGCCCCGGCUUGGUGUUGAGGCCUGCUGUCAAAGGCACCCUCUAAAAUCAGUGGCAGUGCCGUCAGGCUCUAAGCGUAGUAAUUUCAUCGCUAUAGACCCGAGCGGACCCUCGCCAGAACCCCCCCAUUUUUUAAUGAUUGACCUCGGAUUAGGUAGGGAUACCCGCUGAACUUAAGCAUAUCAAUAAGCGGAGGAAAAGAAACCAACAGGGAUUGCCUCAGUAACGGCGAGUGAAGCGGCAAAAGCUCAAAUUUGAAAUCUGGCUCUUUCAGGGUCCGAGUUGUAAUUUGUAGAAGAUGUUUCGGGUGUGGCUCCGGUUUAAGUUCUUUGGAAUAUUACAUCAUAGAGGGUGAGAAUCCCGUAUGUGACCGGCAGCCUUCGCCCAUGUGAAACUCUUUCGACGAGUCGAGUUGUUUGGGAAUGCAGCUCAAAAUGGGAGGUAUAUUUCUUCUAAAGCUAAAUAUAGGCCAGAGACCGAUAGCGCACAAGUAGAGUGAUCGAAAGAUGAAAAGCACUUUGGAAAGAGAGUUAAACAGUACGUGAAAUUGUUGAAAGGGAAGCGC